rnacentral:rRNA from 1 species
UGGGGAAUAUUGCACAAUGGGCGCAAGCCUGAUGCAGCCAUGCCGCGUGUGUGAAGAAGGCCUUCGGGUUGUAAAGCACUUUCAGCGAGGAGGAAGGUGGUGAGCUUAAUACGCUCAUCAAUUGACGUUACUCGCAGAAGAAGCACCGGCUAACUCCGUGCCAGCAGCCGCGGUAAUACGGAGGGUGCAAGCGUUAAUCGGAAUUACUGGGCGUAAAGCGCACGCAGGCGGUUUGUUAAGUCAGAUGUGAAAUCCCCGGGCUCAACCUGGGAACUGCAUUUGAAACUGGCAAGCUAGAGUCUCGUAGAGGGGGGUAGAAUUCCAGGUGUAGCGGUGAAAUGCGUAGAGAUCUGGAGGAAUACCGGUGGCGAAGGCGGCCCCCCUGGACGAAGACUGACGCUCAGGUGCGAAAGCGUGGGGCAGCAAACAGGAUUAGAUACCCUGGUAGUCCACGCUGUAAACGAUGUCGAUUUGGAGGUUGUGCCCUUGAGGCGUGGCUUCCGGAGCUAACGCGUUAAAUCGACCGCCUGGGGGAGUACGGCCGCAAGGUUAAAACUUAAAGGAAUUGACGGGGUCUAGCUG